rnacentral:rRNA from 1 species
AGUGAACGCUGGCGGUAGGCCUAACACAUGCAAGUCGAACGGCAGCACAGUAAGAGCUUGCUCUUACGGGUGGCGAGUGGCGGACGGGUGAGGAAUACAUCUGAAUCUACUUUUUCGUGGGGGAUAACGUAGGGAAACUUACGCUAAUACCGCAUACGACCUACGGGUGAAAGCAGGGGAUCUUCGGACCUUGCGCGAUUGAAUGAGCCGAUGUCGGAUUAGCUAGUUGGCGGGGUAAAGGCCCACCAAGGCGACGAUCCGUAGCUGGUCUGAGAGGAUGAUCAGCCACACUGGAACUGAGACACGGUCCAGACUCCUACGGGAGGCAGCAGUGGGGAAUAUUGGACUAUGGGCGCAAGCCUGAUCCAGCCAUACCGCGUGGGUGAAGAAGGCCUUCGGGUUGUAAAGCCCUUUUGUUGGGAAAGAAAAGCAGCAGGUUAAUACCCCGCUGUUCUGACGGUACCCAAAGAAUAAGCACCGGCUAACUUCGUG